rnacentral:rRNA from 1 species
CGCGUAGGCGGCUGGGUAAGCGUGUGGUGAAAGUCCGGGGCUCAACCCCGGAUCGGCCAUGCGAACUGUCCAGCUGGAGCACGGUAGAGGCACAUGGAAUUCCGGGUGUAGCGGUGGAAUGCGUAGAGAUCCGGAAGAACACCGGUGGCGAAGGCGGUGUGCUGGGCCGUAGCUGACGCUGAGGCGCGACAGCGUGGGGAGCAAACAGGAUUAGAUACCCUGGUAGUCCACGCCGUAAACGAUGGGCACUAGGUCCUUGGGGGAGCGACCCCGUGAGGGCCGGCGCUAACGCAUUAAGUGCCCCGCCUGGGGAGUACGGCCGCAAGGCUGAA